UAUGCUCCUUAUUCCCCUCAUUCAAUGGGAUCGUUUCGAGGUCUUCUAUCAUUUCUUCAUGCUCCUCCAUUACUUUAUUAUGGGUAUCUAGUCCGUCGACCAAAUAUACUUUAGAGGUCCUGGUGCCAUAAAGCACAAUGAUGUAGCAUUGUUAGGCUAGGGCCUGAUCUCUUUGAACCUCACCAACUCCGAACUUAAUUGGGAAUUUCACCUUUAGGUGGUAUGUGGAUACCAUGGCUUGGAGUGCAUUAAGUUUCGAUGUCUGAUGAUAGCAUUGUAGGCUGAUGGCGUUUGGACUACGAGAAAGUCAAUUUGAGCUGUGGAUCGUCUAGGGGAUCAUCCAGCAACCAUAGAAAGAGUGAUAACUCCUUUGACAAGUAUUACAUCACUAGUGAACCCCACAAGGAGAGAAUCCAAGCACCCU
rnacentral:lncRNA from 1 species